AUGGCUUCGCUGCAGGUCGGCGCCGGCCGCGGCGUGGGUUGCUGCUUCGGUCCGCUGGACGGCCGGCGGCAGGAGAGGAGAGCGAUGGCGGCGCUGCGACCGCCGAGGGCGGGUGCGGGGGCGAAGGUGGCGGAGGGGGACAAGGUGAGACUGGGCGAGUCCAGCGUAGCGGUGAGCAAGCUCGGCAUCGGCGCCUGGUCGUGGGGCGACACCACCUACUGGAACGAUUCCGAGUGGGAUGACAGGAGACUGAAGGAGGCUAAAGCAGCAUUCGACGCCAGCAUCGACAGCGGAAUGACUUUCUUUGACACCGCCGAAGUAUACGGCACAGCGCUCAUGGGAGCAGUGAAUUCAGAAAGCCUACUGGGAGAUUUCAUCAGGGAGAGGCAGCAGAAGGGGGCGGUGGAGGUGACCGUGGCCACCAAGUUUGCGGCGCUACCCUGGAGGUUCGGACGUGGCAGUGUCCUCUCCGCGCUCAAGAAGUCGCUGGAGCGCCUCGGCCUCCCCUCCGUCGAGCUCUACCAGCUCCACUGGCCAGGGCUAUGGGGAAAUGAAGGGUACCUUGAUGGACUGGCGGAUGCGUACGAGCAAGGUCUCGUCAAGGCCGUCGGAGUCUCCAACUACAAUGAGAAACGCCUCCGGGACGCACACGCGCGGCUCAAGAAGAGGGGCGUCCCGCUGGCCGUCAACCAGGUGAACUACAGCCUCAUCUACAGGACGCCCGAGGAGAACGGCGUCAAGGCCGCCUGCGACGAGCUCGGCGUCACGCUCAUCGCCUAUUCCCCCAUCGCCCAAGGUGUUCUGUCAGGGAAAUACACUCCGGAGAAUCCACCCACGGGUCCUCGGGGGAAUACCUACACUCCCGAGUUCCUCACCAAGCUCCAACCGCUGAUGAACAGGAUCAAAGAGAUUGGAGUAAGCUAUGGCAAGAACCCAACUCAGGUGUCUCUGAACUGGCUGACCUGCCAGGGCAACGUGGUACCCAUCCCGGGGGCCAAGAACGCCGGGCAGGCAAUGGAGUUCGCCGGUGCACUCGGGUGGAGCCUCGCCGCCGACGAGGUCGAGGAGCUGCGGACCCUCGCGCGGGAGAUCAAGGGAAUCAAGAUGCCCAUCGAGGAGUCAUGA
rnacentral:rRNA from 1 species